rnacentral:rRNA from 1 species
UACGUAGGGCGCAAGCGUUAUCCGGAAUUAUUGGGCGUAAAGAGCUCGUAGGCGGUUUGUCGCGUCUGCCGUGAAGUCCGGGGCUCAACUCCGGAUCUGCGGUGGGUACGGGCAGACUAGAGUGAUGUAGGGGAGACUGGAAUUCCUGGUGUAGUGGUGAAAUGCGCAGAUAUCAGGAGGAACACCGAUGGCGAAGGCAGGUCUCUGGGCAUUAACUGACGCUGAGGAGCGAAAGCAUGGGGAGCGAACAGG